GAUGAACGCUGGCGGCGUGCCUAAUACAUGCAAGUCGAGCGAACGGACGAGAAGCUUGCUUCUCUGAUGUUAGCGGCGGACGGGUGAGUAACACGUGGAUAACCUACCUAUAAGACUGGGAUAACUUCGGGAAACCGGAGCUAAUACCGGAUGAUAUUUUGAACCGCAUGGUUCAAAAGUGAAAGACGGUCUUGCUGUCACUUAUAGAUGGAUCCGCGCUGCAUUAGCUAGUUGGUAAGGUAACGGCUUACCAAGGCAACGAUGCAUAGCCGACCUGAGAGGGGGGACGGCCAAACUGGGACCGGGACACGGUCCAGACCCCCAAGGGAGGCAGCAGGAGGGGAUCUUUCGGAAAGGGGGGAAGCCUGACGGGGGAACGCCCGGGGAGGGAUGAAGGGUCUCGGAUCGUAAAACUCUGUUAUUAGGGAAGAAAAUAAGUGUAAGUAAACGUGGACAGCCUUACGGGAACUAAACAGAAAGGCAACGGCAAAUACGGGC
rnacentral:rRNA from 1 species